UUAGGCCCAAGGAUGGCAUGUGACUG
rnacentral:piRNA from 1 species